AUGCAUAAGAUCCCACCCUCCCUGCAAAUCACUCUCCGAAGCCACGCCUCCUCCAGAAACAUCAACAACACAGGAACUCAAUCCCAGCAGAAGAGUGUGACGCUGCUUCAGAUCGUCUGUGUUCUGGCUCUCAUCAAGACAAGCGUCUUCACGGCGAGACUCACACUGGACUAACACACGGAAACCUCUGACCGCUUCACUGAGGAAAGAGGAAGUUUCUUCUUAUGGGGGAAGACACAUGCUGUUAGUUUGCACUACAAUACAUCUGAAACAAGAGAAACUAAGAGAAAGAAAGAACAGUUAUCAGGCACAUUUUCUAAAAAAAGUGCAAAAAAUCUUGUUUUAGAAGCAACAAGUGGACAGCAUUUCUUUCUGAGUGAAGUAAAAUUACUAGUUUUGCAGAUGACUUCACAGAGUCUCUUGCAGAUCACAUAAAACAGUAUCUUUACUUUAAUGAAAUGCUCUGGACAGUUUUAUUGAGAGUAAAGCAGAAUCAGGUCUACAUGCAGCUGUGUGUAUUGAGUGUGUGCUGAUGUUUGACUCAGUUCUAGUCAGUUCACAUGUGAAUGAAGAGAGGAUUGUGAUCUUCUGUUGACUGGAGCAGAGACUCAUGGGACUCAGAGCUGCUGAUGUAGAGAGCGCCACCUGCAGGAGAAAACUACAACUACAGCUGCACUCUUUCACAGCCACAAAAAAAUCUGUUUUUUCCUUGUUUAACUGAAGAAAGUUCUGGCACAUCCAACUAUUAAUUUCAUCAAUACACUGGCAGAGGGAGUCAAUGAGGCUGUAGUCAUUUGGCGAUAAGGCUAGGUAAAUCUGUGUAUCAUCAGCAUAGCUGUGAUAGGCAAUUUGGUUCUUUCUCAUUAUCUGACCUAGUGGGAGCAUAUACAGGCUAAACAAGAGCGGUGCAAGAAUUGAGCCUUGUGGGACUCCGCAUGUCAUGGACGUCCACUUAGACUUAUGCUCUCCUAGACUCACAUAAUAACCUCUCCCUUCUAAGUAUGACCUGAACCAUUUGAGUACCAUCCCAGAAAGCCUGACGGUUUUCCAGUCUCUCUAGUAGUAUGUUAUGAUUGACAGUGUCAAACGCAGCACUGAGAUCUAGCAAUACCAGCACUGAUAUUUUGCCAGAGUCAGAAUUUAAGCGAAUAUCAUUUAUUAUCUUAAUGAGCGCUGUCUCUGUGCUGUGAUGCAGUCAGAAACCAGAUUGAAAAUUGUCCAGGUAUCCAUUUGAGUUAAAGUACUGUAUUUGUUCAGCUGAUUAAAAACUACCUUUUCUAUAAUUUUGUCUAAAAAAGGAAGAUUAGAUAUUGGUCUAUAAUUGCUCAAAAUGGUGUUAUCAAGAUUGCUCUUUUUCAGGAGGGGCUUAACAACUGCAAUUUUCAGGGAGUUUGGAAAUGUCCCAGAAAGAAGUGAGGCGUUCACCACUUCUAAGAGAUCUGCUUCUAAACAGUUUUGAAAAAAGAUGUGGGAAGUGUGUCAAGAUAGCAGGUUGACGAUUUUAGGUGCUGCACUAUUUCUUCCAAAAUUUUGCUAUCAAUUGCUUCAAAAAUAGACAUAGUAUCUUUUUGAUAUUGCUUCCAAAUCUGUCUGACCUCUGCAUUGCUUGAGGAUGUGCUAAUCGCCUUCCUGAUAUUAAUGAUCUUCUCAGAAAAGAAGGAAGCAAACUCAUUGCAUUUGCUAACUGAGAGCAUUUCACUGGGAAUCUGACUUGGGGGGUUUGUCAGUCUCUCAACAGUGGCAAAAAGAGUACGAGUGUUGUUUAAGUUACUGUUUAUAAGUUUUGAGAAGAAAUUCUGUCUAGCUGUGGCUAGUUUCACAUUAAAUGCAUGAAGGCUGUCUUUAUAGAUGCUAUAGUAAAUUUCAAGUUUCGUCUUCCGCCACAUCCGCUCGGCUUUUCUGCAUUGUCUUUUCAUAGUCUGAACUGCUGUUGAUCUUCUCCAAACUGAUU
ensembl:lncRNA